rnacentral:rRNA from 1 species
UAGGGAAUAUUGCACAAUGGGCGAAAGCCUGAUGCAGCAACGCCGCGUGCGCGAUGAAGGCCUUCGGGUUGUAAAGCGCUUUUCGGGGAGAUGAGGAAGGACAGUAUCCCCGGAAUAAGGCUCGGCUAACUACGUGCCAGCAGCCGCGGUAAAACGUAGGAGCCAAGCGUUAUCCGAAUUCACUGGGCGCAAAGCGUGUGCAGGCGGUCUGAUAAGUUGGAUGUGAAAUCUCCUGGCUCAACUGGGAGAGGCCGUUCAAUACUGUUAGACUAGAGGGUAACAGAGGAAGGUGGAAUUCCCGGUGUAGUGGUGAAAUGCGUAGAUAUCGGGAGGAACACCAGUGGCGAAGGCGACCUUCUGGGUUGCACCUGACGCUCAGACACGAAAGCUAGGGGAGCGAACGG